rnacentral:rRNA from 1 species
UACGUAGGGUGCGAGCGUUAAUCGGAAUUAUUGGGCGUAAAGGGCGCGUAGGCGGCUUUGCAAGUGACGGGUGAAAUCCCUCGGCUUAACCGAGGAACUGCCUGUCAAACUGCAUGGCUUGAGACCGGGAGAGGUGAGUGGAAUUCCCAGUGUAGCGGUGAAAUGCGUAGAUAUCAAGAGGAACACCUGCGGCGAAGGCGGGUUGCUGGGCCGACACUGACGCUGAGGCGCGAAAGCCAGGGGAGCGAACGGG